UACCAUUGCAGUGUUUAUUACAUAGCGGAAUAUAAUAUAUCACAUAGUCUCAUACAAAAAUGAUAGCAUAAAGUAAUCAACGCUCUCGACGGAAGCUCCACACAGGGACACUAUUAACUGGUUGACUCCAAACCUAGUACUCAUAGCGAUAGUCCUCAUUCCAGUCAUCUUCAUUAUCAUAUCCUGAGGUGUUGGGAAAUUGCAAGAGUGAGCACAUAUCGUACUCAACAAGUAUAACCAGGGGUUCAUGAGGCUCAAGUAGCUGACACUGGUUUGACUGCAUUUAGCUUUUAAUAGUGGAUAGCAUAUUCAUAAUUAAACAGCAAUAGUCAAGGUAGCAUAAACAAUCCAUUACUCCCAUGAUCAAGUGUAAGCAUAAUUAAUCCAUAGCAUAAACGAUAAUCAAAUGAACAUAACAACUUAAUAAGCUCAUCGUCGGCGCAGCAAGAACCCCCAAGGCCGCUCAUAACCGUGAGCACGGCUAGUAUACCAGUUUUACACUCUGCAGAGGUUGUACAUCUUUACCCAUGAGUCAUGAUUUACCCUUUCGCCCGAGGUAGCUAAUCUCUUAACCCCCUUCCUAGGGAGGUCGGCAGGGAUCACUACGAAGCCUUUCAAAAGUUCGUCUAACAUGUUAGGGCCGCAAGGUUUUCUUUGCGCGCAGAUAUAGAUACCCCCCUUCCAAAUGGCAAAAUGACGCGCAACCUAUACACAUAAGGACAGGGGCUCGUACUAUACCCAAAACGGUUCAGCCCCUCCGCCCUUUCGGGUAACCUCUAACAAGCUAGAAAAGUUCUUCAUACUGAGCUAAAGCCAGAGCCAUUAUAGCCCUCAUGGUUGCACUGUUGUCCCGGUGAUCACUUACAGACAAGAUCUCAUAUAGUUAUUUGUCAUCAUUUAACGUUCAUUGCAUAGCUAUUAAUUAUCUUACAAGAUCAUGAAUUAUAUCAAGCACUAGCACAUCUACACCAAAUGCAUAUCAAGUAGGUAACAAGGAAUACAGGUAACAAUCAUCUAUGAUUUUGCUAAGGUCGACAAGGUGAUAGCAUGCAUAUGAUAUAUAUGUGUACUUAAGUGAAUAGGUACGGCUCAAAGCUCUCCUGAGCCCGCUGGUCUUCAAAAGCUUGGUCUUGAUCACCAACGUACGGCUCACCGUCUAUUCCCAAACAUCAAUCAACAACACGCAAUCCAAUGUAGACAAUCAUACACAAAGCAAACAAGCUAUAAUUAGAACAUUACACCAAACAGUGGUAAAAUAAAUAUAAAAGUUUAUGAAAAUAUUCUACGCCGCGCUACGAUCACACAAACGUAAAGUUCACGAAAUUCAGAAUUAAAACGAGAAAGAUAUGAAUUUUCUAAGAUUUCCUAUAGAGAAAUAAUUAAUUAAAUGCUACUGUGAAAAUAAAAAGUUUCAAAACAGUAAACUAAUACUUCGAACAUGUAGAGCAUAUAAUUACGAACCUAACGCAAUUUGAAUGGACAAAAACGGAGUUAAAAUGAGUAUUUUAUGACCAAUUCAAUUCCAAUGGCAAAACUGUAAAUAUGUGAUUGCGCCUUUUCACUGGAAGCGACGAAAAUACGUUUUCACAUCGGGAAAGCGUAAACCGCCAAAGCGUCUUGGACUGCGGGUUAGAUUUCCAAAUUUUCUAGGGACUCUUAACGUAAAAUCGUAGGUGAAAGGGUAUGUUUAAAUCGUGGCCGUUGAUCUUCGGUUGGAUGGCCACGAUCUACUCCUGGGGGUCCUUGGCGGUGGCCGGCUGGCCUCUCCCUGUCCGAUGCGGUGGCCGCCAUGGCCGGAGGCUGAAGCUCGCCGGCGUCGUCCGGCUUCUCGUUCCCGAGCACCAAACUCUGAAAUAAAAAUACCAACGCGACGAGGAGCUCGCCGCGGACUCACCUAACCACUUUUCAUGGGCCGAGAAGCCACGAGAGGAGCUCGCAACGCGCGGGGCUUGCCCUCAAUCUCGGCGAGAUCCAGAAGAAUGACGACGGUAGGCUAGGGUUCGGUUUUUGCGAUUCGGAUGCAAAAGGAGGGUGCGGUUCCAGGGAACUAGCUUUAUAGGGCUCGGUUAGCUUCCUAAGCAAGGAAAUCCCGAGAUCCCGGGAUUGAAACCGGCUGCAUAGAGUCCGGUCACGAAACGGGGAAGAAGAAGAAGGCGCUGCACGGUGGGGCCGCAUGGCAGAGAGAGAAGGGGAGGGGGCCCAGCUGUCAUCGGCUGAAAGGAGGAAGGGGAGGGAAAUGGGGCGCGCCUGCUCGCCCUGGGCCGUAAGCUGGGCCGCGGGUUGGGGGGAGAGAAAUGGGCCGCGCGCAGGAGGGGAAAAACUGGGGUUCGGCUGAGGUCCUUCCCCUUUUUUUCUUUUUUUUAUUCCUUUUUCUAAAGCAUUUUCCCAAAUGAAAUUCAAAUCAAAUAAAUUCAAACAAAAAGGGCAACAGCACAGAAUUAAAUAUGCUCCAGCAUGAAAUGCAAAAUUCAAGUUUACUAAACCCUAUGAUAAAUUUUAUUUUCAACAAAAUUAUUCAUUCACUAAAUUAAAUACCCACAAAAAUCCUUAAUUAAAUCAAAUUAAAUCCUAUUAAUUCAAAAUCAAAUUUUGGGUGUUACAAAUUCUACCCCCCUUAAAAGAAUCUCGUCCUCGAGAUUGAGCGGUGCAUAAACUGUGGAUACGAUUCUCUCCAAUCAUCCUCUCUUUCCCAAGUUGCUUGUGCCCCUAAAAACCAAUUCCAUUGCACUAGCAAAUUCAAUGUCUCUAAUCAAGUAGCAUACCAGGUAGCUUUUCUGAGAAAUGACCUGGAAAUUUAUUCAAUGGACGAUCCGGAAAAUCAAUAUCCUCAUCCAGUCGGUUCACUGUCGCUGUGGGUGGAGCCUGUACUGCUACAUCAACACUUAUUCUUUCUCCCUUUGGCGUUGUCACAACUACUACUUUGUCUUUGCACUUAAUUUCCGUAGCAUAUUUCUUCAUCCAUUCCAAACCUAAAAUCACAUCUAUGCCUGAGGUUCUCAUGACCAUGGGAUUAACCGGGAAAUCUACCCCCCUUAAAGAAAGACUUGCUAAGGGGCAACAAUAUGAAACUGGUAUAGUCCCUCCCGGUGAGUUUACUAGCAUAUGGUUUUUCAUGGCAACUAGUGGUAUGCUAUGAACUCUAACAAAUGCUUGUGAUAUGAAUGUAUGUGAAGCUCCAGAAUCAAAUAAAACUGUAGCGGGAAUAGAGUUGAUACUGAACGUACCCAUCAUGAUUUCUGGUCCCUCUUGUACUGUCUCUGCAGCCACAUGGUUCACCUUUGCUCCAUGAGAAUUAGACUUUUGAUUGUUGUUCUGCUGGUUGAAUCUCCCCGGGCAAUCAUAUG
rnacentral:lncRNA from 1 species